rnacentral:rRNA from 1 species
GAUCAUGGCUCAGGAUGAACGCUAGCUACAGGCUUAACACAUGCAAGUCGAGGGGCAGCAUGGUCUUAGCUUGCUAAGGCCGAUGGCGACCGGCGCACGGGUGAGUAACACGUAUCCAACCUGCAGUCUACUCUUGGACAGCCUUCUGAAAGGAAGAUUAAUACAAGAUGGCAUCAUGAGUCCGCAUAUUCACAUGAUUAAAGGUAUUCCGGUAGACGAUGGGG